CAGUCCUUGGCAAUGGAAUUGUUUCCAAGUCGGGCGAGCGGUUUGCACGUGACCGGGCACUGCUGAGUCACCGCCGGGGGCUGCGGUUUCUACGUGAAUUAGGGGAGUCGCGAGGGGCGGGGGCUCCUGCCGCAGCCAGAACUUUCUAGCACAGACCUGCGGGCGUUCCUCACCCACCGCCCUCAUGGCCAGGAAGAAACGUGGUGAGUAAAGAAGUUACAAAGAGAAAGAAGGCCUUUGCCCCGGGACCGCGUAGCCAUCUGCGGCUCCUCGAGGCCCCCUGCUCUUCACUGUCACCUUCGCUGCCAUCGCUGACGUUUUCCCGAGUCGGGGUGAGACCAGGAAGGACGUGCCGACACGGGGACGGGAGGCAGGCGUGUUCAGUUGGACUCGGGGGCGUCCGACAAUUUCUCAUUUCGCAGCUGACGCUUGAGAGCCCAGGAUGUGCUCGUGAAGGCGGCGCGCUGGCCCCUCGGGAGGCGUCCGGGCGUCGGGUGCACUGAGGGCUGCGCAGUGGCCGCCCGGCCCCGCCGUCCAGCGACAGCCCCUGGUGGUGCAGCCCGUGCUCUGCGCAGAGGCCGAGGAUGGCCCGGAGCCCUUCCGCAGCCUCACUGCUCCGCUCCGCAGUUUUUCCGGGGCCUCCUGAGGACCUGGUGAGUGUCGAGGGACGGUUUCCCGGACAGUGCUUUGCCCACCGCCUACCCCCAGCCAGCCCAAGCCCAGACCCCGCUGGGGCAGCCACCACGCAGCACGCCAGCCGCUUCCUGGAGGAGGCAGCCCUGUGGUUGCAGAUACGUGGACUCCUUCCAAGGCUGCAGUGCCGUGUCCUCAUGGGGAGUCCUCGAUCUUUAAACGUCGGACCCCAGUGAGAUCCACCCCCUCGGCCGUAAAGUGUCAGCAUCUUCGGGGGCCCGGCGGGUUUUCUGGAGCCAGAUGGGUCUGGGGGCCCAGUUUGUGUCAGUGCCAACCCCUGAGGAGGGGCCCCCGCUGCCCUUCGUGGGGUGAGGCUCGUGCCGGGUCGGGCAGGGAGUGGGCCCCGCUGCCCGCCAGCCUCGGGCCUGAUCCGAGCAGGCCCCUGCGCCCUCGUCCUCCGCGCAGAGGUCCAGACGAGGCGCUCGUCCCCGGGGGGAGGCCCCUCUCCAGACCUCGGAGAAAACCUCGGACAGG
rnacentral:lncRNA from 1 species